UACGUAAGGGGCAAGCGUUAUCCGGAUUUACUGGGUGUAAAGGGAGCGUAGACGGCAGUGCAAGUCUGGAGUGAAAGGCGGGGGCUCAACCCCCGGACUGCUCUGGAAACUGUACGGCUGGAGUGCAGGAGAGGUAAGUGGAAUUCCUAGUGUAGCGGUGAAAUGCGUAGAUAUUAGGAGGAACACCAGUGGCGAAGGCGGCUUACUGGACUGUAACUGACGUUGAGGCUCGAAAGCGUGGGGAGCAAACAGG
rnacentral:rRNA from 1 species